rnacentral:rRNA from 1 species
UACGUAGGGUGCGAGCGUUGCCCGGAUUUAUUGGGCGUAAAGGGCGCGCAGGCGGUACGGCACGUCCGUUGUGAAAUCGCUCGGCUCAACUGGGCGGGGUCAGCGGAUACGGCCGCACUUGAGCAAGCUAGGGGGCAAUGGAAUUCCCGGUGUAGUGGUGGAAUGCGUAGAUAUCGGGAGGAACACCAGUGGCGAAGGCGGUUGCCUGGAGCUUUGCUGACGCUGAGGCGCGAAAGCCAGGGGAGCAAACGGG